CGUUGAUUACGUCCCUGCCCUUUGUACACACCGCCCGUCGCUACUACCGAUUGAAUGGCUCAGUGAGGCUUUCGGACUGGCCUAGGGAGAGUGGCAACACUCACCCAGGGCCGGAAAGUUG
rnacentral:rRNA from 1 species